rnacentral:rRNA from 1 species
UACGUAGGGGGCAAGCGUUGUCCGGAUUUAUUGGGCGUAAAGAGCUCGUAGGCGGUUUGGUAAGUCUGGUGUGAAAUCUCCACGCUCAACGUGGAGGGGCCACCCGAUACUGCCAUGACUGGAGUCCGGUAGAGGAGUGUGGAAUUCCCGGUGUAGCGGUGAAAUGCGCAGAUAUCGGGAGGAACACCAAUGGCGAAGGCAGCUUGCUGGGACGGUACUGACGCUGAGACGCGAAAGCGUGGGGAGCAAACAGGG